rnacentral:lncRNA from 10 species
UGGAUGGGUGGCUGAGGUGGGAUCUGUGCCUUCUGCAGAUGAUCCCGGCCUGGUGAUGGCCCUCUUUUGGGCUGAGACUCCUCACGCGGAAGAUGAUGGAGGUGGAUGUUGUGAGUCCUCUGGUCCUCCAGCACUUCAAUCCAGCCUCCCACGGCAAGCCAGUUCUCGGCAACUGUGUGCCUGGGGUUCCACUCCCAGCACCUGCUUCUGGAUGGCCUGGGGGAUCCACCUGGGUGCCCCUCCACUCCGGGUCCCAGGGGAGACUGACACCCACCCAGGCAACCACCUGCUUGUUACAGAGCCCUGCAGGAGGCAGCUCACCACCCACGAGGAGGGACUUAGGCAGCGGACUUGCUGAGGGGUAAGGGUCUGCCCCAUGAUGCCUCACAGCUCCACCUUCUGGGAGCCACCCACGUGUGGGCAGCCUCAGGGGACUCCAGCUCCAGGAGCAAGAUCGGGUUGUGGAUGGAGGAAGGGUUGCAGAUGCCAUCAAAGCUGUUGCUUCUCUGUGAACUGCAGCAGACUUUGCCCGGAGCAGUAAACUGUGGACGGA